GUUUGUUUGAUACAAAAUCUAUUAUGACUGCCGCUUCUAGUUGGCGUGUUUCAGGAAUGAAUUACCUUCAGUUUUCCAAUUUUGCUGCACAAUGUUUACGUCGUGGCUUAAAAAAUAUUAACGAAACACAGCUUCAACAGUUGGAGUCUUCAACUUUAAAAGUAAUUGAAUAUAAGAAGGACUUGGCAUCUCCUAGCCCACUAAUUCAGUAAAUCCUUCUUCAUUACUCGUUUCAUAAAAUAGUCGAGUGCUGAAUUAGACCAAAGUAAUAAAGAAUUUCGAUCUUUUCUAUGAGAAUACUAA